GAUAGGAGAAUGACAAAUCAGAUUUUUUUCUUUUGAUUUUUACUUUUUUCCUCCUGAAAAAAAUCAAAUCCAACUAAAAAGGCUAAAAAUCAAGAAAAAAAAAAUCUAAUUUGUCAUUCUCUUAUU
rnacentral:pre_miRNA from 1 species